AGCUAAGGAUCUUCGGUUAAGGUCGCGACGUCCUGUCGCAACACCGAAGCCAACACAUCCGUGUG
rnacentral:sRNA from 2 species